rnacentral:rRNA from 1 species
CCCUUAGAUGUUCUGGGCCGCACGCGCGCUACACUGACGGAGGCAGCGAGCAUGUCCUUCGCCGAGAGGUGUGGGGAAUCUUGUGAGUCUCCGUCGUGCUGGGGAUAGAUGGUUGCAAUUGUCGAUCUUGAACGAGGAAUUCCUAGUAAGCGCGAGUCAUCAGCUCGCGCUGAUUACGUCCCUGCCCUUUGUACACACCGCCCGUCGCUCCUACCGAUUGAACGAUCCGGUGAAAUCUCAGGACUGAGAUUGAUUAACGGUUCGCCGUUACCAGUUUCGGGAAUUUGCUUGAACCUUAUCGUUUAGAGGAAGGAGAAGUCGUAACA